GAUGAGCAACUUCCAAAUACCUGGAACGUGACCCACUUAAAACGAUACUACUGCUAAGGUACGAUACCAUUCUUUCUUAUCUUUAUACACAUGUUACUGUUUAAUAAUCGGUGUGGCUAACAACUGGUUUCCACCUCCAUUUUCACUUAUACACCCAAACACUUCUCUUUCUUUCUUCAAACAUAUCUUCCUUCUACUUUCCCUCACUUUAUUAUCUUCUCUGUUAUCAUAUUCUCUCUGCAAAAUUCUAUUCCUAUAAAUAGGUCCUCCUCCAUUGUUGCAAAUUAGUCCUUCUUCAGUGUUUCUUGGUGAGCUCUCUUUCAUUUAAGAUUUUUUUUCCUUUUUCUUAUCAAGUCUUUUUUCUUUCCAAAAUUUGAUGGGUUUCUUUGUCGAGAUGGUUAGAACGAGUAAUUCUACAUAGAGUCUUCUUUCUUUUUCUGUGUUGAUAAUUUAGUUUAAAGGUAUUUUUCUCAUUGAUUUGAAAAAAUAUCUUAUCGGUUGUUUGCAUAUCAUUUUUCACUUCUUCUUACCGUUUGAUAUUUCUUGAACAUUAUAUAUGUCAGGAGACUCAGGACUACGAUAUGACCAUUCAAAGUUACCGCAUGUGAGUGUUUUGUCAUUUUUUGCUCAUAUUAUAAUUGAAUGUUGUUGAAUAUUGAACGCUCCAAAUAAACCUUGAAUGCUAGCAUAGCCGGGAAAUGUUUCCUCACAAUUGUUGCUUAGCUCCUGUGCGGCUUACGGUAGUUUAGAUUGGUAUGUUAACUGGUGCUUAAUAGGAAUCUUCAAUUCUAUUCUUGCAUUAAUUUAUAUUCAUAAAUUUUUGGGUGUUUCCUUGUCUAUGUAAUAUCAGCGUGUUUGCUCUCUUUCCUUUAUUUAAUUAAGUUAACAUCUACUAUUUUAAGGAAUUUUGCUUAAAUAAGAAAAAAUCUGGACUCUUUUUUUUUUUUUUUGAAUCUGCAAAAUCUGGAGUCUUGAUUUAAUUUUGGUUAAUCUGACGUUCUUGCAAAUGUUUUGUUAAUGUAUUUGACCAAUGUAGGGUUAUCAUUCAAUUUUGUCUUUGUUUUUCUAAAUACUUAGACUGCUUUUUGGGGAAUAAUUCAUUGCAGUUUUGAAAUUAUGAAGCUUUGUUCCAAAGGGUUUCCUUUAUUCAGACUAAUUCAAGAUAUUUACUCAAACUAAUCAACCCGAGAUAGUCCAAUUUAGGGUUGCAGGAUAUUCCUGGAGAACUUUAUUUAUCAUUAUGAAUUUUCAUAGUUAUCAACUAAUAAUGGAAAAGGUUAUCAACUAAUAAGGGGAAAGGACUGGACAUGAUUCCAUGGUUAAUAGGGAGUGUACAUGUCUGUCAUUUUCUAUUCCCUAAAUUUUGCCUUGUUCCUUUCUUUAACUUAUUGCUCCACUUCUCCCUGUCUUUCAUGUGCAGCUUAUGGAAAUAAACCAUACAUAUUUGUGUGAACAUCGAUCCUAAUUCACAGGUACAAUUGUGUAUCGCCCCAUCUUUAGACUAGAAAAAGAGCUUGAUUGGCUAGAUUUCUGCUAAAGUGUUGCAGAGGCUAAUGACAUUCUAAAAAACAUGGACCAACUUUUUAAAGGAAUCACUAUAUUUAUCUAUUCAACUAAUAAUGUGGAAAUAAAUUCCUAUUAAAGUUGUUUAAGUGAGUUAAUUUAAGGCUUUAGAUUUCCUAAACUGUUAGGAGAAGUAGAUGUUUAUGAGACUUUAGAGGUUAAUGAAUAUUAGUUGGCUAUUUGAGUUGACUCGCUUUAUAUAUCCUUGAAAUUCUAGACUCUAGACAUGCCCUAUUGUAACUUUAUUUUUAUGUCACGAGCUGUUUUCAAGACUAUGUCAAGGAGCACAUUCCACUGGUUCCAUCUACUGUAGCAACCAUAUUGAGAAUGCAGUAGCAUGAUUGCUUUGUCAGGGUAAGUAUUAUGUUUUGCCCUGUCUCAUUCAUUUUUCUUAUACAUAUCGACCAGGCAUGGUUUCACUAUUUGAACUUCAAGUGAAAUUGAGAUACUGCUUUGAAUAUUUAUUUCAAGUAAGAACUAAUAUUUAUGAAUGUGCGUGCUUUCCUCUGAUUCGGUUUUUUCCCUGGUCUUCCUGAGACUGUUUUUAGAAAACUGGAUCCUAAACCUUCUCUUUCUCACCUAGCAAAUUAGGAGACAUUGAUGAAUAAUGAGAAUGUAUUUUCAUGAUUCUGGAGGUCCUUAUUUGAUGUCAAUAAAGAAAUUUCUACAUUUACUCAUGAUGACGAUUAAUUGAUUAAUUCUUACUAUAAAGAAUCAAAUAAGGAAUUAAAGAAAAAUUUAAAAGACCGAAUUUCGGUAAAUUCAUGAACUCCGUUAGAUUAUUCUUAGCUUUAUCUCAAAAAGAAAGGUGGUGUUCUGAGAGAAGUGGAGUAAGUACCUCCUACUUUUAUAGAUUUGGGCGAGUUUGUAGAUGAGAAUUGUAGUUGGAGUUAGGUUGGAGAGAACUGUAACUCUGUGGUAUCCAGUAUCACUAUAGAAAUUAAUUUAGAAGUGACAUUGUUCUUUGUUGCUUUAGAAAGUAAUAGGAGACUGAUAAAAUUCUUAAUUUGAUCCAUUUCAAAGCUCGCAUCUUUUAAGCAAAAGAGAAUGUCUGCAGCUGCUUAUUUAAGCAACAUGUCCUUACAUUUCUUGGAAGAAACACUCAAAAUAAUUGAGAGAAUUCAUAGGGUAACUUUUGACUGUUGUCUUUCCUAUAUGAGUUAGUAAUUGAAGCUAUUCAUGGAUUAUUGUUCCUAAACUAUCUCUAAAGAAAUCCUAUGAUCCAAUUUAUUCCUUUCUAUAUUUUGAAUUUUAUACGGCUAAUUUUAGCAUCAAGAUACAGAAUUAAUUAAAGCUCCAGUAAGGGGACAUAUUUAGGAACCCACUAGCAGUUAGUACUAUGUACUCUGCUAAUUUUUGUUGUAGGUAUAUUAUUUGAAAAUUCGAUGUGUUUAAGAUUUACGAAUAUUUUAUUAGUAUAUGUAUGUGUUAUGUUGCAGGACAAGAUCUGAAACAGAUGGUUAACAAUUGUGAAUUGUUCCACUUCUCUUGUUUGCUCUGUUAUCCUCUAACAAAUUAGAGCAGAAUAAUAUUUUAUACCUUUCAUAUUGGUUCAUUGUUAUUUUUCCUUUUAUAAGGGAGUUUCUAUCUUCCCUUAAUUUUUUUUGAAGGUUGUUUACCUUGUAUUCAAUAUUUAUAUUGAGGUGUUAAUAAAAACUAAUUUAUUAAA
rnacentral:lncRNA from 1 species